GUCCACACCGUAAACGAUGAUUACUAGGUGUUGGAGGAUUGACCCCUUCAGUGCCGCAGUUAACACAAUAAGUAAUCCACCUGGGGAGUACGACCGCAAGGUUGAACUCAAAGGAAUUGACGGGGCCCGGCCACAAGCAGUGGAGUAUGUGGUUUAAUUCGACGCAACGCGAAGAACCUUACCAAGUCUUGACAUCCCUUGACGAUGCUGGAAACAGCAUUUCUCUUCGGAGCAAGGAGACAGGUGGUGCAUGGUUGUCGU
rnacentral:rRNA from 1 species